GCUUAUAUAGAUUAUACAUAAGAAAUCACAAGGCUGUUAACUUUGAAAAGUUUUAGGACUAUGGGCG
rnacentral:tRNA from 1 species